GAUGAACGCUGGCGGCGUGCUUAACACAUGCAAGUCGAACGAAGCACUUUAUUUGAUUUCCUUCGGGACUGAUUAUUUUGUGACUGAGUGGCGGACGGGUGAGUAACGCGUGGGUAACCUGCCUUGUACAGGGGGAUAACAGUUGGAAACGGCUGCUAAUACCGCAUAAGCGCACGGCAUCGCAUGAUGCAGUGUGAAAAACUCCGGUGGUAUAAGAUGGACCCGCGUUGGAUUAGCUAGUUGGUGGGGUAACGGCCCACCAAGGCGACGAUCCGUAGCCGACCUGAGAGGGUGACCGGCCACAUUGGGACUGAGACACGGCCCAAACUCCUACGGGAGGCAGCAGUGGGGAAUAUUGCACAAUGGGCGAAAGCCUGAUGCAGCGACGCCGCGUGAGCGAAGAAGUAUUUCGGUAUGUAAAGCUCUAUCAGCAGGGAAGAUAA
rnacentral:rRNA from 1 species